GGGUGCGAUCAUACCAGCACUAAUGCACCGGAUCCCAUCAGAACUCCACAGUUAAGCGUGCUUGGGCGAGAGUAGUACUAGGAUGGGUGACCUCCUGGGAAGUCCUCGUGUUGCACCCC
rnacentral:rRNA from 1 species